rnacentral:rRNA from 1 species
GACGAACGCUGGCGGCGCGCCUAACACAUGCAAGUCGAACGAGCGAGAGAGAGCUUGCUUUCUCGAGCGAGUGGCGAACGGGUGAGUAACGCGUGAGGAACCUGCCUCAAAGAGUGGGACAACAGUUGGAAACGGCUGCUAAUACCGCAUAAGCCCACGGGUCGGCAUCGACCAGAGGGAAAAGGAGCAAUCCGCUUUGAGAUGGCCUCGCGUCCGAUUAGCUAGUUGGUGAGGUAAUGGCCCACCAAGGCGACGAUCGGUAGCCGGACUGAGAGGUUGAACGGCCACAUUGGGACUGAGACACGGCCCAGACUCCUACGGGAGGCAGCAGUGGGGAAUAUUGCACAAUGGGGGAAACCCUGAUGCAGCGACGCCGCGUGGAGGAAGAAGGUCUUCGGAUUGUAAACUCCUGUUGUUGGGGAAGAUGAUGACGGUACCCAACAAGGAAGUGACGGCUAACUACGUG